CCAGUCAUAGUGUGGGAGCAGCCUGUGGGAGGCCUGCUUUUGGUGUGAGUUGUGGAACACAGUGACAGGAUUUCAGAGUGCAGCAACUGAGGUCAUUGCUUAAUUAAUACCCCCUGCAAUUGGAGACCUGAGAGGCACCUCCUCAUGGCUGCCAUGCGAACUUGCCCCAAUUUUGGUUGGUUACAAUGUAUCCUCCAUUUGUGAUUAGGCCCUAACGUCGGGGGAGACUGAAGGCCCCUUUCUCUUGGUUCUCUCUGCAUCUCUGCCUGAUACCAACCCUCCAUUGGUUCCUUUGCUUGGCAGGUAUUCAAAUGCUGCUGUUUGGUCACAAGUUCCCUGCCAUGAGAGAUGGGCUCAGGCUGGACCCUUUUCUACCCCUUCCUCAGCUCCUGCUCCAAGAAGCCUACCUUGCAGCUUUUGGUUAAUGGGACCUGAGGCCACCAAGGUCUGGAUCUUAGUCCUGGGAGGUGCUGCUUCCUUGGGCACCGUGUCUCAGCCCUAGGGGUGGCUGCUCCUUAUUUCUACUAUUCCUGUACUCUUUAGAGUUCUCUUCACUUCUUACUAGUCAAACCAUCAUUCUCUAAUCCUGCGUUACAGUUAAUAAUUCUUUUUAUUAAAUCGUCUCUAUUCAAGUUACUGUGUGGUUUCUCUCUCCUGAUUGGACUCAGACUGACAGACCAGCUUUCUACUUCUCUGGUAAAAAGCCUUUCUAUAACAUACAAGUCCACAUCUCUUUCAUUUAAGAGUCAGUCCAGGGCCAGUAUUUAGUUCUAUUCAGAGUCCUAUGAGGGAAAAUCUGAUUGGCCUAUGAAGGUCAGGUGAUAACCUUCUUCUCCAAUCAAUUAUAGCCAGGAGGUUGGCGCAAGUGGCUGCCACAAAUAAUCCUGUGGGUGACGAGGACAGUUAAAGGGUCAUUGUGAGCUGAGCAGUUUCCCAAUAGGUAUCCACUAUAGAACUCUGUUUAUUAAAGACAAAAGGGAUAUGCUGAUAACCUAAAAAUCCCUGACCAUUUAAUGAACAUGGAAAAAUUAAUAAUGAUGCUG
rnacentral:lncRNA from 1 species